GGCACAAACUUGAAGUAGAAUAGUUGGGUAUGGUCAGCUGAUCCUACUAAUCCACUCUAUUUCUAGUUUGUGCUC
rfam:Haemonchus placei strain MHpl1 genome assembly, scaffold: HPLM_scaffold0001511